rnacentral:rRNA from 1 species
UACGUAGGGUGCGAGCGUUGUCCGGAAUUAUUGGGCGUAAAGGGCUCGUAGGCGGUUUGUCGCGUCGGGAGUGAAAACCUCGGGCUUAACUCGGGGCUUGCUUUCGAUACGGGCAGACUAGAGGUAUGCAGUGGAGAACGGAAUUCCUGGUGUAGCGGUGAAAUGCGCAGAUAUCAGGAGGAACACCGGUGGCGAAGGCGGUUCUCUGGGCAUGAUCUGACGCUGAGGAGCGAAAGU